rnacentral:rRNA from 1 species
AUACGUAGGGGACGAGCGUUGUCCGGAAUUACUGGGCGUAAAGGGCGCGCAGGCGGUAUAUCAAGUCAGCUGUCAAAGACUGGGGCUCAACCCUGGUAUGCGGUUGAAACUGAUAUGCUGGAGUGCUGUAGAGGCAAGUGGAAUUCCCAGUGUAGCGGUGAAAUGCGUAGAUAUUGGGAAGAACACCGGUGGCGAAGGCGACUUACUGGGCAGCAACUGACGCUGAGGCGCGAAAGCCAGGGGAGCAAACGGGAUUAGAUACCCCGGUAGUCCUGGCCGUAAACGAGUAAUGCUAGGUGUGUGUGUAGAGAUACAUGCGUGGCUGAGUUAACGCGAUAAGCAUUCCGCCUGGGGAGUACGGUCGCAAGAUUGAAACUCAAAUGAAUUGCCGGGG